rnacentral:rRNA from 1 species
UGGGGAAUAUUGCACAAUGGGCGCAAGCCUGAUGCAGCCAUGCCGCGUGUGUGAAGAAGGCCUUCGGGUUGUAAAGCACUUUCAGCGGGGAGGAAGGCGUUAAGGUUAAUAACCUUGGCGAUUGACGUUACCCGCAGAAGAAGCACCGGCUAACUCCGUGCCAGCAGCCGCGGUAAUACGGAGGGUGCAAGCGUUAAUCGGAAUUACUGGGCGUAAAGCGCACGCAGGCGGUCUGUCAAGUCGGAUGUGAAAUCCCCGGGCUCAACCUGGUAACUGCAUUCGAAACUGGCAGGCUAGAGUCUUGUAGAGGGGGGUAGAAUUCCAGGUGUAGCGGUGAAAUGCGUAGAGAUCUGGAGGAAUACCGGUGGCGAAGGCGGCCCCCUGGACGAAGACUGACGCUCAGGUGCGAAAGCGUGGGGAGCAAACAGG